GGCGAGAUGGCCGAGCGGUCUAAGGCGCCAGACUAAGGACCAGGAAGUUUGACUUCCACCUAGUGAGUUGAUACUCAAUCUAUCUGGUCACAAUGUGGCGUGGGUUCGAAUCCCACUCUCGUCA